UACGUAGGGGGCUAGCGUUGUCCGGAAUUAUUGGGCGUAAAGCGCGUGUAGGCGGCCCGGUAAGUCCGCUGUGAAAGUCCCAGGCUCAACCUGUGAAUGCCGCUGGAAACUGUCUGGCUAGAGUCCGGAAGGGGCGAGUGGAAUUCCUGGUGUAGCGGUGAAAUGCGCAGAUAUCAGGAGGAACACCAAUUGCGAAGGCAGCUCGCUGGGACGUUACUGACGCUGAGACGCGAAAGCGUGGGGAGCAAACAGG
rnacentral:rRNA from 1 species